UACGUAGGGUGCAAGCGUUAAUCGGAAUUACUGGGCGUAAAGCGUGCGCAGGCGGUGAUGUAAGACAGUUGUGAAAUCCCCGGGCUCAACCUGGGAACUGCAUCUGUGACUGCAUCGCUGGAGUGCGGCAGAGGGGGAUGGAAUUCCGCGUGUAGCAGUGAAAUGCGUAGAUAUGCGGAGGAACACCGAUGGCGAAGGCAGCCCCCCUGGGCUAACACUGACGCUCAUGCACGAAAGCGUGGGGAGCAAACAGG
rnacentral:rRNA from 1 species